rnacentral:rRNA from 1 species
UGCAGUCGAACGAAGUAGCAAUACUUAGUGGCAGACGGGUGAGUAACAUGUGGGUAUCUACCCUUUGGCCUGGAAUAACACGAGGAAACUUGUGCUAAUACCGGAUAAGUCUUUACGGAGAAAGCUUUAUGCACCAUUGGAUGAGCCUGCACUUGAUUAGUUUGUUGGUGGGGUAAUGGCCUACCAAGACUGUGAUCAAUAGCUGAUUUGAGAGGAUGAUCAGCCACAUUGGGACUGAGACACGGCCCAAACUCCUACGGGAGGCAGCAGUGGGGAGUCUUGCACAAUGGAGGAAACUCUGAUGCAGCGAUGCCGCGUGAGUGAAGAAGGCCUUUGGGUUGUAAAGCUCUUUCGUCGGGGAAGAAAAUGACUGUACCCGAAUAAGAAGGUCCGGCUAACUUCGCGCCAGCAGCCGCGGUAAUACGAAGGGACCUAGCGUAGUUCGGAAUUACUGGGCUUAAAGAGUUCGUAGGUGGUUGAAAAAGUUGGUGGUGAAAUCCCAGAGCUUAACUCUGGAACUGCCAUCAAAACUUUUCAGCUAGAGUUUGAUAGAGGAAAGCAGAAUUUCUAGUGUGGAGGUGAAAUUCGUAGAUAUUAGAAAGGAUACCAAUUGCGAAGGCAGCUUUCUGGAUCAUUACUGACACUGAGGAACGAAAGCAUGGGUAGCGAAGAGGGUUAGAUACCCUCGUAGUCCAUGUCGUAAACGAUGUGUGUUAGACGUUGGAAAUUUAUU